AGCAGUCGCCGCGGUAAUACGGAGGGAGCUAGCGUUGUUCGGAAUUACUGGGCGUAAAGCGCACGUAGGCGGUUAUUCAAGUCAGAGGUGAAAGCCCGGGGCUCAACCCCGGAACUGCCUUUGAAACUAGAUGACUGGAAUCUUGGAGAGGUCAGUGGAAUUCCGAGUGUAGAGGUGAAAUUCGUAGAUAUUCGGAAGAACACCAGUGGCGAAGGCGACUGACUGGACAAGUAUUGACGCUGAGGUGCGAAAGCGUGGGGAGCAAACAGGAUUAGAUACCCGAGUAGUCCCUGUCUCUUAUAC
rnacentral:rRNA from 1 species